rnacentral:rRNA from 1 species
AAUCAACGCUGGCGGCGUGCCUAACACAUGCAAGUCGAACGCGAAAGUGGAGCAAUCCAUGAGUAGAGUGGCAAACGGGUGAGUAACACGUGGGUGACCUGCCUUCGAGCGGGGGAUAACGUCCCGAAAGGGACGCUAAUACCGCAUAACAUCCUGCCUUUUAAGAGGUGGAGAUCAAAGCCGGGGAUUCGCAAGAACCUGGCACUUGAAGAGGGGCCCGCGCCUGAUUAGCUAGUUGGUGGGGUAAUGGCUCACCAAGGCAACGAUCAG